AAGCUGCGUGUGGAUCCCGU
rnacentral:piRNA from 1 species